rnacentral:rRNA from 1 species
UACGGGGGGAGCAAGCGUUGUUCGGAUUUACUGGGCGUAAAGGGCGCGUAGGCGGCUCAACAAGUCACUUGUGAAAUCUCCGGGCUUAACUCGGAACGGUCAAGUGAUACUGUUGUGCUAGAGUGCGGAAGGGGCAACUGGAAUUCUCGGUGUAGCGGUGAAAUGCGUAGAUAUCGAGAGGAACACCUGCGGCGAAGGCGGGUUGCUGGGCCGACACUGACGCUGAUGCGCGAAAGCCAGGGGAGCGAACGGG